rnacentral:rRNA from 1 species
UACGUAGGUGGCGAGCGUUGUCCGGAUUUACUGGGCGUAAAGGGAGCGUAGGCGGACUUUUAAGUGAGAUGUGAAAUACUCGGGCUCAACUUGAGUGCUGCAUUUCAAACUGGAAGUCUAGAGUGCAGGAGAGGAGAAUGGAAUUCCUAGUGUAGCGGUGAAAUGCGUAGAUAUUAGGAGGAACACCAGUGGCGAAGGCGACUUUCUGGACUGUACCUGACGCUGAGGCGCGAAAGCGUGGGUAGCGAACGGG